UUAAGUUAUUAAGGGCGCACGGUGGAUGCCUUGGCACUAGAAGCCGAUGAAGGACGUUACUAACGACGAUAUGCUUUGGGGAGCUGUAAGUAAGCUUUGAUCCAGAGAUUUCCGAAUGGGGAAACCCAGCAUGAGUUAUGUCAUGUUAUCGAUAUGUGAAUACAUAGCAUAUCAGAAGGCACACCCGGAGAACUGAAACAUCUUAGUACCCGGAGGAAGAGAAAGAAAAUUCGAUUCCCUUAGUAGCGGCGAGCGAAACGGGAAGAGCCCAAACCAACAAGCUUGCUUGUUGGGGUUGUAGGACACUCUAUACGGAGUUACAAAGGACGACAUUAGACGAAUCAUCUGGAAAGAUGAAUCAAAGAAGGUAAUAAUCCUGUAGUCGAAAAUGUUGUCUCUCUUGAGUGGAUCCUGAGUACGACGGAGCACGUGAAAUUCCGUCGGAAUCUGGGAGGACCAUCUCCUAAGGCUAAAUACUCUCUAGUGACCGAUAGUGAACCAGUACCGUGAGGGAAAGGUGAAAAGCACCCCGGAAGGGGAGUGAAAUAGAACCUGAAACCGUGUGCUUACAAGUAGUCAGAGCCCGUUAAUGGGUGAUGGCGUGCCUUUUGUAGAAUGAACCGGCGAGUUACGAUUUGAUGCAAGGUUAAGCAGUAAAUGUGGAGCCGUAGCGAAAGCGAGUCUGAAUAGGGCGUUUAGUAUUUGGUCGUAGACCCGAAACCAGGUGAUCUACCCUUGGUCAGGUUGAAGUUCAGGUAACACUGAAUGGAGGACCGAACCGACUUACGUUGAAAAGUGAGCGGAUGAACUGAGGGUAGCGGAGAAAUUCCAAUCGAACCUGGAGAUAGCUGGUUCUCUCCGAAAUAGCUUUAGGGCUAGCCUCAAGUGAUGAUUAUUGGAGGUAGAGCACUGUUUGGACGAGGGGCCCCUCUCGGGUUACCGAAUUCAGACAAACUCCGAAUGCCAAUUAAUUUAACUUGGGAGUCAGAACAUGGGUGAUAAGGUCCGUGUUCGAAAGGGAAACAGCCCAGACCACCAGCUAAGGUCCCAAAAUAUAUGUUAAGUGGAAAAGGGAUGUGGCGUUGCCCAGACAACUAGGAUGUUGGCUUAGAAGCAGCCAUCAUUUAAAGAGUGCGUAAUAGCUCACUAGUCGAGUGACACUGCGCCGAAAAUGUACCGGGGCUAAACAUAUUACCGAAGCUGUGGAUUGUCCUUUGGACAAUGGUAGGAGAGCGUUCUAAGGGCGUUGAAGCAUGAUCGUAAGGACAUGUGGAGCGCUUAGAAGUGAGAAUGCCGGUGUGAGUAGCGAAAGACGGGUGAGAAUCCCGUCCACCGAUUGACUAAGGUUUCCAGAGGAAGGCUCGUCCGCUCUGGGUUAGUCGGGUCCUAAGCUGAGGCCGACAGGCGUAGGCGAUGGAUAACAGGUUGAUAUUCCUGUACCACCUAUAAUCGUUUUAAUCGAUGGGGGGACGCAGUAGGAUAGGCGAAGCGUGCGAUUGGAUUGCACGUCUAAGCAGUAAGGCUGAGUAUUAGGCAAAUCCGGUACUCGUUAAGGCUGAGCUGUGAUGGGGAGAAGACAUUGUGUCUUCGAGUCGUUGAUUUCACACUGCCGAGAAAAGCCUCUAGAUAGAAAAUAGGUGCCCGUACCGCAAACCGACACAGGUAGUCAAGAUGAGAAUUCUAAGGUGAGCGAGCGAACUCUCGUUAAGGAACUCGGCAAAAUGACCCCGUAACUUCGGGAGAAGGGGUGCUCUUUAGGGUUAACGCCCAGAAGAGCCGCAGUGAAUAGGCCCAAGCGACUGUUUAUCAAAAACACAGGUCUCUGCUAAACCGUAAGGUGAUGUAUAGGGGCUGACGCCUGCCCGGUGCUGGAAGGUUAAGAGGAGUGGUUAGCUUCUGCGAAGCUACGAAUCGAAGCCCCAGUAAACGGCGGCCGUAACUAUAACGGUCCUAAGGUAGCGAAAUUCCUUGUCGGGUAAGUUCCGACCCGCACGAAAGGCGUAACGAUUUGGGCACUGUCUCAACGAGAGACUCGGUGAAAUCAUAGUACCUGUGAAGAUGCAGGUUACCCGCGACAGGACGGAAAGACCCCGUGGAGCUUUACUGUAGCCUGAUAUUGAAAUUCGGCACAGCUUGUACAGGAUAGGUAGGAGCCUUUGAAACGUGAGCGCUAGCUUACGUGGAGGCGCUGGUGGGAUACUACCCUAGCUGUGUUGGCUUUCUAACCCGCACCACUUAUCGUGGUGGGAGACAGUGUCAGGCGGGCAGUUUGACUGGGGCGGUCGCCUCCUAAAAGGUAACGGAGGCGCUCAAAGGUUCCCUCAGAAUGGUUGGAAAUCAUUCAUAGAGUGUAAAGGCAUAAGGGAGCUUGACUGCGAGACCUACAAGUCGAGCAGGGUCGAAAGACGGACUUAGUGAUCCGGUGGUUCCGCAUGGAAGGGCCAUCGCUCAACGGAUAAAAGCUACCCCGGGGAUAACAGGCUUAUCUCCCCCAAGAGUUCACAUCGACGGGGAGGUUUGGCACCUCGAUGUCGGCUCAUCGCAUCCUGGGGCUGUAGUCGGUCCCAAGGGUUGGGCUGUUCGCCCAUUAAAGCGGUACGCGAGCUGGGUUCAGAACGUCGUGAGACAGUUCGGUCCCUAUCCGUCGUGGGCGUAGGAAAUUUGAGAGGAGCUGUCCUUAGUACGAGAGGACCGGGAUGGACAUACCUCUGGUGUACCAGUUGUCGUGCCAACGGCAUAGCUGGGUAGCUAUGUGUGGACGGGAUAAGUGCUGAAAGCAUCUAAGCAUGAAGCCCCCCUCAAGAUGAGAUUUCCCAACUUCGGUUAUAAGAUCCCUCAAAGAUGAUGAGGUUAAUAGGUUCGAGGUGGAAGCAUGGUGACAUGUGGAGCUGACGAAUACUAAUCGAUCGAAGACUUAAUCAA
rnacentral:rRNA from 1 species